GACGAACGCUGGCGGCGUGCUUAACACAUGCAAGUCGAACGGAAAGGCCUGCUUUCCCUUCUGGAUUGCGGGUACUCGAGUGGCGAACGGGUGAGUAACACGUGAGUGAUCUGCCCCCAACUUGGGUAUAAGCCUGGGAAACUGGGUCUAAUUCCCGAUAGGACUGCAGGGUGGUGCCUGUGGUGGAAAACGAUUUUCUAGUGGUUGGGGAUGAGCUCGCGGCCUAUCAGCUUGUUGGUGGGGUAAUGGCCUACCAAGGCGGCGACGGGUAGCCGGCCUGAGAGGGUGGACGGCCACAUUGGGACUGAGAUACGGCCCAGACUCCUACGGGAGGCAGCAGUGGGGAAUAUUGCACAAUGGGCGGAAGCCUGAUGCAGCGACGCCGCGUGGGGGAUGACGGCCUUCGGGUUGUAAACUCCUUUCGACCGCGAGGAAGCCACCUGGUUGGAAGGGUGGUGACGGUAGUGGUAGAAGAAGCACCGGCUAACUACGUG
rnacentral:rRNA from 1 species